AACGAACGCUGGCGGCAUGCCUAACACAUGCAAGUCGAACGAGACCUUCGGGUCUAGUGGCGCACGGGUGCGUAACGCGUGGGAAUCUGCCCUUGGGUUCGGAAUAACAGCGAGAAAUUGCUGCUAAUACCGGAUGAUGACGUAAGUCCAAAGAUUUAUCGCCCAAGGAUGAGCCCGCGUAGGAUUAGCUAGUUGGUGAGGUAAAAGGCUCACCAAGGCGACGAUCCUUAGCUGGUCUGAGAGGAUGAUCAGCCACACUGGGACUGAGACACGGCCCAGACUCCUACGGGAGGCAGCAGUGGGGAAUAUUGGACAAUGGGCGAAAGCCUGAUCCAGCAAUGCCGCGUGAGUGAUGAAGGCCUUAGGGUUGUAAAGCUCUUUUACCCGGGAUGAUAAUGACAGUACCGGGAGAAUAAGCUCCGGCUAACUCCGUGCCAAGCAGCCGCGGUAAU
rnacentral:rRNA from 1 species